CAUUGAUUGAGAAUGAACGUGGAGGA
rnacentral:sRNA from 1 species